GAUGAACGCUGGCGGCGUGCCUAAUACAUGCAAGUCGAGCGAACAGACGAGGAGCUUGCUCCUCUGACGUUAGCGGCGGACGGGGGAGUAACACGUGGAUAACCUACCUAUAAGACUGGGAUAACUUCGGGAAACCGGAGCUAAUACCGGAUAAUAUAUUGAACCGCAGGGUUCAAUAGUGAAAGACGGUUUUGCUGUCACUUAUAGAUGGAUCCGCGCCGCAUUAGCUAGUUGGUAAGGUAACGGCUUACCAAGGCAACGAUGCGUAGCCGACCUGAGAGGGUGAUCGGCCACACUGGAACUGAGACACGGUCCAGACUCCUACGGGAGGCAGCAGUAGGGAAUCUUCCGCAAUGGGCGAAAGCUUGACGGAGCAACGCCGCGUGAGUGAUGAAGGUCUUCGGAUCGUAAAACCCUGUUAUUAGGGAAGAACAAAUGUGUAAGUAACUAUGCACGUCUUGACGGUACCUAAUCAGAAAGCCACGGCUAACUACGUG
rnacentral:rRNA from 1 species